AAAAAUUAAAUGCGUUGGAUUUAUAAUUUAUAAAACGUCAAAAAUUAAAUUUAAUAUAAUUAUAAACUCAAACACUACCCAACUAUAUCCAUAAAUACCCUUAUUAUUUUCACUAGAAAACUAUAUGCAUUAAUUGAUAAUUUAAGAGAAAUCAUAGUCAAGCACAAUUAAAGUCAAAAACAAUAAGUAAUAGAUCGAAGCCUAGGUAGACACGAUAUUAUGGUAUUUAAUAUAACAUACUAGAGAGAGAGAGAGAGA